rnacentral:rRNA from 1 species
UACGGAGGGUGCGAGCGUUGUCCGGAAUCACUGGGCGUAAAGGGUGCGUAGGUGGCGCGGGCAGUCAACGGUGAAAGUUCGGGGCUCAACCCUGAAUCGGCCGUCGAUACUCCCGUGCUCGAGCACUGUAGAGGCAGAUGGAAUUCCGGGUGUAGCGGUGGAAUGCGUAGAGAUCCGGAAGAACACCGGUGGCGAAGGCGGUCUGCUGGGCAGUAGCUGACACUGAGGCGCGACAGCGUGGGGAGCAAACAGG